rnacentral:misc_RNA from 1 species
AGGAGUCUUCGUAUCUGCUGAUCAUCGGCACUUGUCCGGUGACAGUGGGGAGACAACCUAGUUGAUCGCCAGUCGGCCGGUCCCCGUUUGAGUGUCGAAUAGAGGGCUCGCCUUCUUCGAUGCUGGGACGAGGUCCGGUCCUUCCUCUAUUCCGUUCUCUGGGAGCAUUUGCUCUCUGUGGAGGCAACGCCCUGUCAGCGGCGCCCUCCCGUGUCGUCCCUGGUGACGAUGACCUGAUCGUUGAGAGUUGCAUAGCGAGCACGAGCAUCUUCGUCGUAUUCAAGCUACGAAGAGCCAACGGUGGAUGCCUUGGC